rnacentral:SRP_RNA from 1 species
GCCGUCGCGGUGGCGCACGCCUGUAGUCCCAGCUACUCAGGAGGCUGAGACUGGAGGAUCGCUUGAGUCCAGGAGUUCUGGGCUGUAGUGCGCUAUGCCGAUUGGGUGUCCGCACUAAGAUCUGCAUCAAUAUGGUGACCUCCCGGGAUCAGGGGACCACCAGGUUGCCUAAGGAGGGGUGAACCGGCUGAGGUCGGAAACGGAGCAGGUCAAGAAUUUUAGGGGGGCAAAAAAAAGAAUUUUAGGGGGGCUUAAACAUUCAUUGUAAAGCAUACAGUGUGCU